rnacentral:tRNA from 1 species
GGCAGUGUUUCCUAGUGGGAAGAGCACGGGCCUAGGAGUCAAAGAGGAGACCUGGGUUCUAAUCCCAGCACUGCCG